AUGCGUGAGUAAACCAUGACCAAACACAGUUGGGAAAAUGUUGUGGCAUCAUUUUAACACAAUGAACAGGUUUCAAACACUUUGGGAAUUUCUGAAUUACUGGAAAUUAUUCAAUCCUGAGUACAUGACAAGUAUAUAAAAGACACACACAAGUGCUUGUGAACUUAUAAUACAGUACGCUCAAUCCUGCAUUACUUGUGAGCUCUCAUCAAGAAAAAUAAUGAAGACAUUGCUGGUGGUCCUUGUUCUUGUUCUGGUGUUGAACUACGGAUCUGCACUGAAGUGCAACCACUGCGUUCCUCAGGGGGA